rnacentral:rRNA from 1 species
UCAGGACGAACGCUGGCGGCGCGCCUAACACAUGCAAGUCGAACGGACGAGAGGAGCUUGCUCCUCAAGUUAGUGGCGGACGGGUGAGUAACACGUGAGCAACCUGCCUUUCAGUGGGGGACAACAGUUGGAAACGACUGCUAAUACCGCAUAACGUUGCGAAGGGGCAUCCCUUUGCAACCAAAGAUUUAUCGCUGAAAGAUGGGCUCGCGUCUGAUUAGAUAGUUGGUGAGGUAACGGCCCACCAAGUCGACGAUCAGUAGCCGGACUGAGAGGUUGAACGGCCACAUUGGGACUGAGACACGGCCCAGACUCCUACGGGAGGCAGCAGUGGGGGAUAUUGGACAAUGGGGGCAAACCCCCUGAUCCAGCGACGCCGCGUGAGGGAAGAAGGUUUUCGGAUUGUAAACCUCUGUUGACAGUGAAGAAAAUGACGGUACCUGUUAAGAAAGCCACGGCUAACUACGUGCCAGCCGCUGC